CCUACGGGGUGCAGCAGUGGGGGAUAUUGCACAAUGGGGGAAACCCUGAUGCAGCGACGCCGCGUGUGGGAAGACGGUCCUCUGGAUUGUAAACCACUGUCCCCAGGGACGAAGAUGACGGUACCUGGGGAGGAAGCUCCGGCUAACUACGUGCCAGCAGCCGCGGUAAUACGUAGGGAGCGAGCGUUGUCCGGAAUUACUGGGUGUAAAGGGAGCGUAGGCGGGGAUGCAAGUUGGGUGUCAAAACUACCGGCUCAACUGGUAGUCGCACUCAAAACUGCAGCUCUUGAGUGAAGUAGAGGCAGGCGGAAUUCCGAGUGUAGCGGUGAAAUGCGUAGAUAUUAGGAGGAACACCGGUGGCGAAGGCGGCCUGCUGGACUGCAACUGACGUUGAGGCCCGAAAGCGUGGGGAGCAAACAGGAUUAGAUACCCGGGUAGUC
rnacentral:rRNA from 1 species